UGGGGAAUUUUGGACAAUGGACGAANGUCUGAUCCAGCCAUGCCGCGUGCGGGAAGAAGGCCUUCGGGUUGUAAACCGCUUUUGUCAGGGAAGAAAUCCUUUGAGCUAAUACCUCGGGGGGAUGACGGUACCUGAAGAAUAAGCACCGGCUAACUACGUGCCAGCAGCCGCGGUAAUACGUAGGGUGCAAGCGUUAAUCGGAAUUACUGGGCGUAAAGCGUGCGCAGGCGGUUAUGUAAGACAGAGGUGAAAUCCCCGGGCUCAACCUGGGAACUGCCUUUGUGACUGCAUAGCUUGAGUGCGGCAGAGGGGGAUGGAAUUCCGCGUGUAGCAGUGAAAUGCGUAGAUAUGCGGAGGAACACCGAUGGCGAAGGCAAUCCCCUGGGCCUGCACUGACGCUCAUGCACGAAAGCGUGGGGAGCAAACAGGAUUAGAUACCCUGGUAGUCCACGCCCUAAACGAUGUCAACUGGUUGUUGGGAAGGUUCCUUCUCAGUAACGUAGCUAACGCGUGAAGUUGACCGCCUGGGGAGUACGGCCGCAAGGUUG
rnacentral:rRNA from 1 species